rnacentral:rRNA from 1 species
CCUACGGGCGGCUGCAGUGAGGAAUAUUGGUCAAUGGGCGCGAGCCUGAACCAGCCAAGUAGCGUGAAGGAUGACUGCCCUACGGGUUGUAAACUUCUUUUAUAAAGGAAUAAAGUCAGGCACGUGUGCCUUUUUGUAAGUACUUUAUGAAUAAGGAUCGGCUAACUCCGUGCCAGCAGCCGCGGUAAUACGGAGGAUCCGAGCGUUAUCCGGAUUUAUUGGGUUUAAAGGGAGCGUAGAUGGGUUGUUAAGUUAGUGGUGAAAGUUUGCGGCUCAACCGUAAAAUUGCAAUUGAUACUGGCAGCCUUGAGUACAGUUGAGGUAGGCGGAAUGCGUGGUGUAGCGGUGAAAUGCUUAGAUAUCACGAAGAACACCGAUUGCGAAGGCAGCUUACUAAACUGCCACUGACAUUGAGGCUCGAAAGUGUGGGUAUCAAACAGGAUUAGAUACCCUGGUAGUC